rnacentral:rRNA from 1 species
UACGAAGGGGGCAAGCGUUGUUCGGAAUUACUGGGCGUAAAGGGCGCGCAGGCGGCCAAUCAAGUCAGAUGUGAAAGCCCCGGGCUCAACCUGGGAAUUGCAUUUGGGACUGUUUGGCUAGAGAUCGGGAGAGGAGAGUGGAAUUCCCAGUGUAGAGGUGAAAUGCGUAGAUAUCAGGAGGAACACCGGUGGUGUAGACGGCUUUCUGGACCGUAACUGACGCUGAGACACGAAAGCGUGGGUAGCAAACAGG